UUUAAGAAAUAUGUGGCAUGAGUGCUGUGCAUCUCUCUCUCCCGUUUGUCUCCCGUGUGUGUGUACAGUGAAGUUUGAAGCAAGCUGAUCCUUGAACUGAGGCAAGAGAAAGGAAUUCGGAAGCUAGACAAAAGUAGCAGCAACUUUGUUGAAGCUCCAUAACAAGCUGCAAGCUCGGAUUCAUGGGAGAUCGUGGUAAAUUUCGAAAUUUACUAAAAUAUGUGUUUAAUUUGGAAAUGCACGAUUAAGGGCAUAAAGUGUGUUUUUGUUUCAUCAAUUGGUAUCAGAGCCCAUGGUUAUGCGUUUCCUUGUAAACCAUAGUUGUUUUGUUGAAGAAAUCUCACUCAUGGAAUUUUUUUUAUUAUUUUCGGAUUUUUCGAAUUCUUCGAAUUUGGACAUAUUUCCUCAAACGGUUGUUAAAUAAUGCAUGAGUGAUGAUUUUGGAGCAGAGAUAUAAUUUUUUCGUGUUUUUUGGUGGCCAAAAUCGGGUUGGUAUGGAUGUGGAUGCUGUAAAUGUACUGUACAAUACUGUAGCAACAGCCCGAGGUUGAAGAUGAUGAAACAAUUUCAUUUGGAUCCCUAAAUUUUGUGAAUUGUCACUAUGGCCCAAAAUCUUUGCAAAAUUUUCGAAAUGGUCCUUGACCGAGGGUCAACUUUGUAAAAGAUCAGUUUGGUCCCUUAAAUUUUGGUAAAUUAUAUUAUGGCCCAAUAUUUUAUUUUAUUUUAUUUACAGUUUGGGCCAAAAGUUUUACUAUUUAAAACAGUAAGCAGAAUUCUGAAAAUUCUGCAGUUUAGUCCACAAUCCUUUAAAUUUUGGCGAUUUUUUCAGAAUUUGAAAUUUAAGAAUAAUCCAUCAUUGUUGAAUUGUAUGGGCAUAAUAUUCAUAUAUUUUAUUGAGGCAUGUAGAUAUUUUAUUUGAUUUAAUAUCUUGUUAAUUUCAUUUGACAAAAUUUAUUUAGCCUCAAUUUUGUUAAUAUACGAAAUAUAUAUAUGAUGCAAAACUACAAUUUAGAGUGAUUGUGUAUCUGCUUAUCGUAAGACCAAUCAUGAUAAAUUAUUUGGUGUUUUACAAUUGGUUGUCCAUUUAUAAUUAUGAAUUAUGGAUUAUGUGAUGGAUUAUUAUUGUUUUGACCAAGAUCCAUACGGGUGAUGAUACUGCCCUGUCGGCAAAUCACUACUUGGUAGGAUGCUUGGGAAGAUAAAGAGGUUUGUUGAGUAUUUUCUACUGAGUGGCUUGAUUACCCUGUCGGUAAUAGGUCAAUGUUGGUGUUAUAUUCAACUUGUCUGCUUUAUCUUUAGGUUAGUGCACUCCUAUAUUACUAAAGGAUGCCUAACAUAUUGUGUUGCUAUUGGAGAAACUUAGAAUGAGGAGCAAUUGAUUAUAGCAUGAUUUUAAUUUUUGCAUGCUUGAUAAUUCUUUUGUUAUUGCUUCCUCAGCUCUAGAUAUUCUCUCCUUUCUCCAAGUAGCCUCCCUCAAGAAUUUAAACUGGGACAAAUUUUGAGGACUGGCGUGAGUCCAUUUUGUUUUAUUUGUCUACACUGAAUAGAGACUUGGCAUUAAGAGUUGAUGAACCAGCCAAGCCCACAGAUAAGAGCACUGCUGCUGAAAAAGCAGAGUGGACAGCUUGGGAUGAAUCCAAUAGACACUGUCUGGAUACAAUGAAAUACACCAUUGAUAGGACAACUCGAGAUAACAUCCCUGCAUGUGAUAAGGCCAAAGAUUACUUGGCAGCUGUUGGAAGGACUUUUAAGAAGGUAGAUAAGGCAGAAAAGGGUAACUAUCUGAGGCUGCUUGCUAACACUCAGUAUGAUGGUGUUUCUGGAGUGAGAGAGCACAUCCUUAAGAUGACCAGUUACCAUAAGAAGUUAAAGGACAUGGAUGUCAAUCUACCUGAUGACUACCUGGUCUUCUAAAUCCUUGAAUCUCUUCCACCACAAUUUGGCAAUUUGAGAAGCCAAUACAAUACUCAGAGAGACACUUGGAAUAUCACUGAGUUGACUGCUUAUGUGGUUCAAGAAGAGGAAUCAUUGAAGAAGGGGAAAUCUCACACUGUCAUGGUGGCCACUACUCAAGAGAGUGGGAGUGUGAAGAAAGGCUCUUCAAAGGGCAGCAAUAAGUUUUUCAAGAAGAAAAAGUUUGGCAAGAAAACUUCACGUGGUACUUCUUCUACCACUUCUGGUUCCACUUCUGAGAGCUUUAAGGGAAAGUGCCACUUUUGUAAGAAACCUGGGCACAAGAGAGCUGACUGCAGGGGAUUCAAAGCAUGGUUGGAAAAGAAAGGUAUUCCUGUAGCCUUUGUAGGCUUUGAAUCUAAUCUUAUUGAUGUUCCUUCUGAUACUUGGUGGUUGGAUACUGGUGCAACCAUUAAUAUAACGAAUUCCUUACAGGAAUUCAGAAGCAGGAGGGAACCCAAUGAAGGGGAGUUGAUAGUACACAUGGGCAAUGGAGUGACAGCCAAAGUUGAAAGCAUAGGAGUUGUCAGACUACAUCUAGCCACAGGCUAUUUUUUGGAUCUGUUAGAUACGGCUUAUAUUCCUUCUAUUAGGAGAAACUUGAUAUCUGUAUCUAUUUUGGAUAGAUGUGGCUAUACUUUUCAUUUUGGUGAUAGAAAAGUUUACUUAUUCCGCAAUUCAAAGUUAGUUGGUUCUGGCACUCUAUAUGAUGGCUUGUAUAUGAUUGAUUUAUUUUCUCGUGCUGUUGAAUCAUCAUCCAAUGCUCAUGUUAUGCAUGUUGUUAGCUCUAAUCGUGUCAGGGUUGAUGAAAAUUCCUCUAUGUUGUGGCAUAAACGGUUAGGUCACAUUUCUAAACAGAGGAUGGAGAGGCUCAUUAAAGAUAGCAUUCUACAUAAGUUGGAUUUCUCUGAUUUUGGCACUUGUGUUGAUUGUGUUAAAGGCAAACUUACUGCCAAAACCAGAAAAAAGAGAACUCAGAGGAGUCAACAGGUGCUGGAGUUGGUACAUACAGACAUUUGUGGGCCAUUUACUCCUAUUGCCAUUGGAGGUUAUAAGUACUUCAUCACGUUCAUCGAUGACUUUUCUCGUUAUGGUCAUGUUGAACUUCUUGCUGAAAAGUCUGAAUCCUUAUCUGUGUUUCAAGCCUUUAAGGCUAAUGUUGAGCUCCAAAAGGCAAGCAAAUUAAAGCAGUAAGGUCAGACAGAGGUGGUAAGUACUAUGGGCGAUAUGAUGAAACUGGGCAUAAUCCUGGACCUUUUGCUAAAUUUCUUCAGGAAUGUGGAAUAGAAGCCCAGUAUACAAUGCCCGGGACUCCUGAACAGAAUGGAAUUGCAGAAAGGAGAAAUCGUACCCUUCUUGACAUGGUGCGGUGUAUGCUGAGUAACUCUACCUUACCAGAUUUUCUAUGGGGUGAAGCCUUAAGAACUGCAGCUUACAUUUUGAAUCAGGUACCUAGUAAAUCGGUGCCCAAAACUCCUUAUGAGUUGUGGUCAGGAAAGAGACCGAGUCUUCGUCAUUUUCAUGUCUGGGGAUGCAGAGCAGAAGUGAGGCCCUAUAAUCCACAAUCAAGGAAACUUGAUCCGAAAAAAAUUAGUGGUCAUUUUAUUGGCUAUUGUAUCGGCUCAAGGGGUUCUAGAUUUUAUUGUCCUUCCCACACUACUAGAAUCAUUGAGUCUGAUCGUGCUAUUUAUUUUGAGGAUGAUCACAAUGGUGGGAGUUCUGAGCCUCGCAGUCUGACAUUGAGAGAAGAACGUGUGGUUUUGCCUAUUUCAUCUUUUCCGACUUCUGCGAUGGGAUUACCACAUAUUGAUGAUUCUUCUGUUGAUCCUGAACUUCAUCAUAAUAUGGAGCCUAUGAUUGUAGAGGAUGAUGGUACUGAUGUGCCAUUGAGGAGAUCAGAGAGGAUCAUGAGACCUGCAAUUUCUGAUGAUUAUGUUGUUUACUUGCAGGAGCAUGAUUUUGAUGCUGACUCUUCAUCUGAUCCUAUUACCUUUCAAGAGGCCAUCAGUUGUUCAGAAUCAUCAUCUUGGAUACAUGCGAUGCAUGAUGAGAUGGCAUCUAUGUAUCAUAAUGGGGUUUGGGAUUUAGUUGAGUUACCAGAUGGAUGCAGACCAAUUGGUUGCAAAUGGGUUUUCAAAACCAAAAGAGAUGCCAGAGGUCAGGUAGAGAGGUAUAAGGCCAGGCUUGUGGCUAAGGGUUUUAGUCAAAAAGAAGGCAUUGAUUACACUGAAACCUACUCUCCUGUUUCUACUAAAGACUCUUUUCGUAUUAUCAUGGCAUUGGUAGCUCAUUUCAAUUUAGAAUUGCAUCAGAUGGAUGUGAAGACAGCUUUUCUCAAUGGGAGCUUGUCUGAAGAUGUAUACAUGGUGCAACCUGAUGGUUUUGUUGAGUCUGGUAGAGAAAACAUGGUGUGUAAGCUUAAAAGGUCCAUUUAUGGACUUAAGCAAGCAUCCAGACAGUGGUAUUUGAAAUUUCACGAUAUUGUCACCUCUUAUGGGUUCCAAGAGAAUGUCGUUGAUCAGUGUAUAUACUUGAGAGUCGGUGGGAGCAAGUAUAUCAUUUUGGUGCUUUAUGUGGAUGAUAUCUUGCUCGCUGCUAAUGACACUAAUUUGUUACUUGAGACAAAGCAAAUGUUGUCAUGCAGCUUUGAUAUGAAGGAUCUUGGUGAAGCCCAUUAUGUAUUAGGGAUAGAGAUUCUUCGUGAUAGAUCUAGAGGAAUUCUAGGUUUGUCUCAAAAGACUUACAUUGAUCGCAUUUUGAAAAGGUUCAAUUUGCAGUCUUGUGCUCCUGGGAAAGCUCCAAUUUCGAAAGGUGACAAAAUUUCCAAGUCUCAAUGUCCCGAUAAUGAUGUAGACAAAGCUAGAAUGCAAACAGUCCCGUAUGCAUCCGUUGUGGGUAGCUUGAUGUAUGCUCAAGUCUGUACUCGCCCUGAUAUUGCUUUUCCAGUGGGAGUACUUGGAAGAUACCUGAGCAAUCCUGGAUUUGAACACUGGAAGGCUGCAAAGAAAGUACUCAGAUAUUUGCGAGCCACUAAAGAUUUUGUAUUGACAUAUCAGCAAUCUGACCAUUUGAAUAUAGUUGGAUAUUCUGAUGCUGAUUUCGCAGGGUGCUUGGAAGACAAGAAAUCCACAUCUGGUUACAUCUUUAUGAUGGCAGGAGGAGCUAUAUCGUGGAAAAGUGUCAAGCAGACACUUAUAGCUUCUUCAACAAUGGAAGCAGAAUAUGUAGCCUGUUUUGAGGCUACACGUCAUGCUUUAUGGAUGCAGAAUUUUAUCACAGGGCUAGAUUGUAUAUUGGCCGUUCCGAGGCCACUAAAGAUAUACUGUGAUAAUUCUGCAGCUGUUUCUUUUUCUCACAACACAGGGAGUUCCUCACGUUCCAAGCACAUUGAUAUUAAAUACUUGUUUGUGAGAGAGAAAAUUGCUCUAUCUUGUGUAUCAGUAGAGUAUAUCCCUACAGAACUCAUGUUAGCCGAUCCACUUACUAAAGCUUUAGCUCCAAAAGUAUUUAGGGAGCAUGUAACGCAUAUGGGAUUAUUUGAAUCCACUUAUAUAUGCUGAGUCAGUGGGAGUUCUGGUUUGUAUUAUGAGUUGCAACUUAAAUGAGCUUAUGUAUUACUCAUUUUGUUAUCAUGCAUGCAUGUUGUUAUGUGAUAUUGAUAUGCCAUAUAUUGUGUACACAUUUGGCUGCGUAUGGCAUUAUGUAUAGAAUGAGGAUACGAUGGUCCGAGACAUUUUGCUCAGUCUCAAUAUGGACAUUAAAGACUGAAGCGUUAUGAUUUAGCUUCAGUGUGCUUUCUUGAGACAUUUUGAUUUAGUCUCAUUAUGAUUAAAAAGGAAGCUCGCUUCUCGAGACAUUUUGCUAUAGUCUCAUUAUGGUUAUAAAGAAGCGAUGGUCUAGGAGACAUAUUGUUUUCGUCUCAUUUUGCUAGACAUCUGGACUUUAUGGAAAUGAGCAUGUUGAUCACAUUGUCAUGUUAUUUCCAUAAUUAUACUUGUAUACUACUACAUGGUCACGUGUUUAUAAGUGUCUUGUUAUAUGGAACAUCCUGUCGGUGCACAUAUGAUUUGAUAUUUAUGGCACAUUUUGGACUUGUUUAUGUUCUGGGUGAUUGCUUGUAUUUGACCUUUUGUUAGAGUCACAUAUUGAUUAAUUCGGUUGUUUUCAAAAUAUUAUUUUAUUUUAAAUUUAUCAUUAGAGUGAUUUCUGUCGUCCAAGUGGGAGAUUGUUAGAUUUAUUUCUCACAUUAUGUGGACUGACAUAAAUCAUUCUAAUUGUUUUCUAUAUUUUACCGAAUUAAUACGUGACUAUUGUCAAAUAUUAUGGAGCAAUUUUGACAUACCCUGUACAGUAGUAUAUUAUGGACAAGUAUAUCAUUAAUUGUGUUAUUUUCGCCCAUAAUGGGAUGAGCAAUUUUGUACUAACACAUGAGGGGUCCCUGCGCUCAACCACUGUAUUUAAGUAACUUCAGCCCAUUGGAAGUUAACUGUUCAAGAAAUCUGUGGCAUGAGUGCAGUGCAUCUCUCUCUCUCUCCCGUUUGUCUCCCGUGUGUGUGUACAGUGAAGUUUGAAGCAAGCUAAUCCUUGAACUGAGGCAAGAGAAAGGAAUUCGGAAGCUAGACAAAAGUAGCAGCAACUUUGUUGAAGCUCCAUAACAAGCUGCAAGCUCGGAUUCAUGGGAGAUCGUGGUAAAUUUCGAAAUUUACUAAAAUAUGUGUUUAAUUUGGAAAUGCACGAUUAAGGGCAUAAAGUGUGUUUUUGUUUCAUCAGUUCUAUAACUAAAUAACAAUGACAGUCAUAAUUAUGUACCGAAAAAUAAAUAAAUAAAUAAAACUAACAUCAGACAAAGAUGGAGGAUCACAACUCUAACCUAAUCAUAAGCAAAAACUUGAAGACAAACACACCAAAGAAACUUCAAACAGGGCAAUUUCAAGUUGAUAUUAAAUGCUUAGCUGAGAUAAUACACUAUAAUUACAAAUUCAACAAUUCCUCCUAAUCUCUUUUUCUACAAAAC
rnacentral:lncRNA from 1 species